GGUGUUGAGGCAGAAGUGUCCGGAGGUCUGUGUGUCUGUGGAGUUGGGACCUGUUUUCGGGGCAUGAGCUGAGGGCACAACGCCGACGCCACGAGUAUUUCAUACAGAUUGAUGGAAGCAGAAACUAAAACUCUUCCCCUGGAGAAUGCAUCCAUCCUUUCAGAGGGUUCUCUACAGGAAGGGCACCGAUUAUGGAUUGGCAACCUGGACCCUAAAAUCACAGAAUACCACCUCCUCAAGCUUCUCCAGAAAUUUGGGAAGGUAAAGCAGUUUGACUUCCUCUUCCACAAGUCAGGUGCUUCGGAAGGACAGCCUCGAAGGUACUGUUUCGUUAACUUUGAAACUAAGCAGGAAGCAGAACAAGCCAUCCGGUGUCUCAAUGGCAAGUUGGCUCUGUCUAAGAAGCUGGUGGUACGGUGAGCACAUGCUCAAGUAAAGAGAUAUGAUCAUAACAAGAAUGAUAAGAUUCUUCCAAUCAGUCUUGAGCCAUCCUCAAGCACUGAGCCUACUCAGUCUAAUCUAAGUGUUACUGCAAAGGUAAAAGCCAUUGAAGCAAAGCUGAAAAUGAUGGCAGAAAAUCCUGAUGCAGAGUAUCCAGCAGCACCUGUUUAUUCCUACUUUAAGCCACCAGAUAAAAAAAGGACUACUUCUUAUUCUAGAACAGCUUGGAAAUCUCGAAGAUGAUGGUUGUGAAUUAAUGUAGCAGCAAAAGCAAAUUGGUCUCCACACCUGAAAUCCUCUGCUUUUGUACUUUGUAGAUGUGAAUGGUACUACCCAACAGAGCACCAUCACAUGCUAGAGUUUGGUAACAUAAGUUUUGGUUGUUCUUACGGAUGUCUGUUCCCUAAACUGUGUGGAAUUGAGCAUCAUCCAGAAUAAAUAGGAUUGUGUCCCAGAUUGUGAUUUGAACCCUGGGAUACUCUAAUUGGCUAGUUUGUUUGGAUCUGUAACUCCAGAAACAUUCUGUAGUGUGCCAGAAAGGAAGGCAAAUAUACAGAAUGUUAUUUAAAUCAGGAAACUAAAUGUAUUAACAUCCAUUAAAAAUAA